rnacentral:rRNA from 1 species
AUGAUAGACAAUUUUCCAGCUCUGCCUUGGUUGUUACUCACCUUCACUCCACUCUCCAUUAGCCAUGUCACAUUGGCUAGCGUUGUAGAGAGGUCGCCUAGAGAUGAUCUCAAAUUGCUCACAUGCCGGAACAUUGAUGAGAAAAAUCAACUGUGCUCCUCUAUCUACUGUCCGACACCUCCACCUUACAUAAUCCUAGGCCUCAUGCAAAAUGAAUGUAUGUUCUUGAGAUCCUGCCUAAAAUAUGGCAGAGGGACUUCAGAAAGGUUGCCCAUGUAUAAUACAGUAAAGCUGGCAUAUUCAGUGAUCAAGUGGUGGUAUAUUGAAUUAUAA